GACGAACCGAGCGAACGUUGUUCGGAAUCACUGGGCUUAAAGGGCGCGUAGGCGGGUGCUCAAGUCCGUGGUGAAAUCCUCCGGCUCAACCGGAGAACUGCCUCGGAUACUGGGUGCCUCGAGGGUGGUAGGGGUAUGCGGAACUAUCGGUGGAGCGGUGAAAUGCGUUGAUAUUGGAAGGAACGCCGGAGGCGAAAGCGACGCACUGGACCUCUUCUGACGCUGAGGCGCGAAAGCUAGGGGAGCAAACGGG
rnacentral:rRNA from 1 species